UAAAGCGAAUAAGGGCGCAUGGCGGAUGCCUAGGCGUUGAGAGGCGAUGAAGGACGUGGUAAGCUGCGAUAAGCUUCGGGUAGGUGCAUACAACCGUUUUAACCGAAGAUUUCCGAAUGGGACAACCUAAUACACUGAAGGUGUAUUACUCGAAAGAGAGCCAACCCAGAGAACUGAAACAUCUAAGUACCUGGAGGAAAAGAAAAUAACUAAUGAUUCCCUAAGUAGUGGCGAGCGAACAGGGAAGAGCCCAAACCAGAGAGGCGUGCCUCUCUGGGGUUGUAGGACUGCAUUUAGAAACUAUCAUCAAACAGAAGCCUCUGGAAAGUGGCGCCAUAGCGGGUGACAGCCCCGUACGUACAAAUUGAUAGGGACGAGCAGUAUCCUGAGUAACGCGGGACCGGAGAAAUCCUGCGCGAAUCCACCGGCACCAUCCGGUAAGGCUAAAUACUCCUCAACGACCGAUAGUGAACCAGUACCGUAAGGGAAAGGUGAAAAGCACUCCGAAUAGGAGAGUGAAAUAGUUCCUGAAACCGUGCGCCUACAAGCGGUCGGAGCAGACUUGUUCUGUGACGGCGUGCCUUUUGCAUAAUGAACCUACGAGUUGCUCCUCACUGGCGAGGUUAAGUUCAUAAUUAACGGAGCCGUAGCGAAAGCGAGUCCAAAUAGGGCGCUUUAGUCAGUGGGGGCAGACGCGAAACUUUGUGAUCUAUCCAUGAGCAGGUUGAAGGUGUGGUAACACACACUGGAGGACCGAACCCAUUAACGUUGAAAAGUUAUGGGAUGACUUGUGGAUAGGGGUGAAAGGCCAAUCAAACUGAGAGAUAGCUCGUUCUCCCCGAAAUGUUUUUAGGAACAGCGUCGCAUUUAUAGAAGUCUGAUAGAGGUAGAGCUACUGAUUGGGCUAGGGGGCUUCACCGCCUACCAAACCCUGACAAACUCCGAAUGCUAUCAGAUAUCUGCGGCAGUGAGGCUGUGGGCGCUAAGGUCCAUGGCCGAGAGGGAAAUAACCCAGACUAUCAAUUAAGGCCCCUAAAUCUACGUUAAGUUGAUCAAACGAGGUUCGAAUCCUAUGACAGCCAGGAUGUUGGCUUGGAAGCAGCCAUUCAUUUAAAGAGUGCGUAACAGCUCACUGGUCGAGGGUUCGGGCGCGGAAAAUAAUCGGGCAUCAAACGUAGUGCCGAAAUUAUAGACUCGAUUUAUCGAGUGGUAGGGGAGCAUUCUCAUCUGCGUCGAAGGUGUGGCGUGAGCCAUGCUGGAGCGUUGAGAAAAGAAAAUGUAGGUAUAAGUAACGAUAAAUGUAGUGAAAAACUACAUCGCCGAAAGACUAAGGGUUCCUGAUCAACGUUAAUCGGAUCAGGGUUAGUCGGGUCCUUAGGCAAAGCCGAAAGGCGUAGCUGAUGGAAAGUGGGUUAAUAUUCCUACACUUGUUUUAGUUUCGACGGGGUGACGGAGUAGUGAAAGGUCCGCGUACUUACGGAAUAGUACGUUAAAGGGUGUAGUUAUAUUUUUGGUAGGCAAAUCCGCCAGAAAUGAUGAACCUGAUAGUACACAACGGCUUCGGCCUGCGUGAUAGCGACCCUAAUCAGACUCACGAGAAAAACCUCUAAGGCUAGGCUAAAACAACCCGUACCGUAAACCGACACAGGUAGUCGAGAUGAGUAUUCUAAGGCGCUCGGGUGAGCCGCGGAGAAGGAACUAGGCAAAUUAACGCUGUAACUUCGGGAUAAAGCGUACCACAGUAAUGUGGUCACAGUAAAAUGGUUCAACCAACUGUUUAACAAAAACACAGGGCCCUGCAAAAUCGAAAGAUGACGUAUAGAGCCUGAUACCUGCCCGGUGCUGGAAGGUUAAGGAAGGAUGUUC
rnacentral:rRNA from 1 species